rnacentral:rRNA from 1 species
AGCGUACACGGUGGAUGCCCUGGCAGUCAGAGGCGAUGAAGGACGUGCUAAUCUGCGAAAAGCGUCGGUAAGGUGAUAUGAACCGUUAUAGCCGGCGAUGUCCGAAUGGGGAAACCCAGUGCAAUUCGUUGCACUAUCGUUAACUGAAUACAUAGGUUAACGAGGCGAACCGGGGGAACUGAAACAUCUAAGUACCCCGAGGAAAAGAAAUCAACCGAGAUUCCCCCAGUAGCGGCGAGCGAACGGGGAGCAGCCCAGAGUCUGAAUCAGCUUGUGUGUUAGUGGAACGGUCUGGAAAGUCCGACGGUACAGGGUGAUAGUCCCGUACACCAAAAUGCACAGGCUGUGAACUCGAAGAGUAGGGCGGGACACGUGGUAUCCUGUCUGAAUAUGGGGGGACCAUCCUCCAAGGCUAAAUACUCCUGACUGACCGAUAGUGAACCAGUACCGUGAGGGAAAGGCGAAAAGAACCCCGGCGAGGGGAGUGAAAAAGAACCUGAAACCGUGUACGUACAAGCAGUGGGAGCACCUUCGGGUGUGACUGCGUACCUUUUGUAUAAUGGGUCAGCGACUUAUAUUCUGUAGCAAGGUUAACCGUAUAGGGGAGCCGCAGGGAAACCGAGUCUUAACUGGGCGUUAAGUUGCAGGGUAUAGACCCGAAACCCGGUGAUCUAGCCAUGGGCAGGUUGAAGGUUGGGUAACACUAACUGGAGGACCGAACCGACUAAUGUUGAAAAAUUAGCGGAUGACUUGUGGCUGGGGGUGAAAGGCCAAUCAAACCGGGAGAUAGCUGGUUCUCCCCGAAAGCUAUUUAGGUAGCGCCUCGUGAAUUCAUCUUCGGGGGUAGAGCACUGUUUCGGCUAGGGGGUCAUCCCGACUUACCAACCCGAUGCAAACUACGAAUACCGAAGAAUGUUAUCACGGGAGACACACGGCGGGUGCUAACGUCCGUCGUGAAGAGGGAAACAACCCAGACCGCCAGCUAAGGUCCCAAAGUCAUGGUUAAGUGGGAAACGAUGUGGGAAGGCACAGACAGCCAGGAUGUUGGCUUAGAAGCAGCCAUCAUUUAAAGAAAGCGUAAUAGCUCACUGGUCGAGUCGGCCUGCGCGGAAGAUGUAACGGGGCUAAACCAUGCACCGAAGCUGCGGCAGCGACACUAUGUGUUGUUGGGUAGGGGAGCGUUCUGUAAGCCUGCGAAGGUGACCUGUGAGGGUUGCUGGAGGUAUCAGAAGUGCGAAUGCUGACAUAAGUAACGAUAAAGCGGGUGAAAAGCCCGCUCGCCGGAAGACCAAGGGUUCCUGUCCAACGUUAAUCGGGGCAGGGUGAGUCGACCCCUAAGGCGAGGCCGAAAGGCGUAGUCGAUGGGAAACAGGUUAAUAUUCCUGUACUUGGUGUUACUGCGAAGGGGGGACGGAGAAGGCUAUGUUAGCCGGGCGACGGUUGUCCCGGUUUAAGCAUGUAGGCUGAUUAUCCAGGCAAAUCCGGAUAAUCAAGGCUGAGGUGUGAUGACGAGGCACUACGGUGCUGAAGUAACAAAUGCCCUGCUUCCAGGAAAAGCCUCUAAGCAUCAGGUAACAUCAAAUCGUACCCCAAACCGACACAGGUGGUCAGGUAGAGAAUACCAAGGCGCUUGAGAGAACUCGGGUGAAGGAACUAGGCAAAAUGGUGCCGUAACUUCGGGAGAAGGCACGCUGGUGUGUAGGUGAAGCCCCUGCGGGUGGAGCUGAGACCAGUCGAAGAUACCAGCUGGCUGCAACUGUUUAUUAAAAACACAGCACUGUGCAAACACGAAAGUGGACGUAUACGGUGUGACGCCUGCCCGGUGCCGGAAGGUUAAUUGAUGGGGUUAUCCGUAAGGAGAAGCUCUUGAUCGAAGCCCCGGUAAACGGCGGCCGUAACUAUAACGGUCCUAAGGUAGCGAAAUUCCUUGUCGGGUAAGUUCCGACCUGCACGAAUGGCGUAAUGAUGGCCAGGCUGUCUCCACCCGAGACUCAGUGAAAUUGAACUCGCUGUGAAGAUGCAGUGUACCCGCGGCAAGACGGAAAGACCCCGUGAACCUUUACUAUAGCUUGACACUGAACAUUGAGCCUUGAUGUGUAGGAUAGGUGGGAGGCUUUGAAGCGUGGACGCCAGUCUGCGUGGAGCCAACCUUGAAAUACCACCCUUUAAUGUUUGAUGUUCUAACGUUGGCCCCUUACCGGGGUUGCGGACAGUGUCUGGUGGGUAGUUUGACUGGGGCGGUCUCCUCCCAAAGCGUAACGGAGGAGCACGAAGGUUAGCUAAUCCUGGUCGGACAUCAGGAGGUUAGUGCAAUGGCAUAAGCUAGCUUGACUGCGAGCGUGACGGCGCGAGCAGGUGCGAAAGCAGGUCAUAGUGAUCCGGUGGUUCUGAAUGGAAGGGCCAUCGCUCAACGGAUAAAAGGUACUCCGGGGAUAACAGGCUGAUACCGCCCAAGAGUUCAUAUCGACGGCGGUGUUUGGCACCUCGAUGUCGGCUCAUCACAUCCUGGGGCUGAAGUAGGUCCCAAGGGUAUGGCUGUUCGCCAUUUAAAGUGGUACGCGAGCUGGGUUUAGAACGUCGUGAGACAGUUCGGUCCCUAUCUGCCGUGGGCGCUGGAGAAUUGAGGGGGGCUGCUCCUAGUACGAGAGGACCGGAGUGGACGCAUCACUGGUGUUCGGGUUGUCAUGCCAAUGGCACUGCCCGGUAGCUAAAUGCGGAAGAGAUAAGUGCUGAAAGCAUCUAAGCACGAAACUUGCCCCGAGAUGAGUUCU